GAGUCCUAAAACAUAGGAUGUCAUUCUUCUCUGCUCAUUUCGUUUUAUUUAAUUCAUGAGGCAAACUUUAUUUGGUUGGUUCAUAAAUAAAUUGUAACAGCAGGCAUUUGUUUUUGAGGUGAAGAUACACGAGCCGAACGCAAUAAAGCAAGAACACUAAAGCAUCAACAAUCACGCAGGUUUUCAGAAGAAGGAGGAGGAUGAAGAA